ensembl:misc_RNA Metazoa_SRP Metazoan signal recognition particle RNA
GCCAGGCACAGUGACACAUGCCUGUAGACCCAGCUGUUCUGGAGGCCGAGGUGGGAGGAUCACUUGGGCCCAGGAGUUUGGGGCAGUAGUGCACUGUUACCUAUUGGGUAUCCAAGGCAAGUCCAGCACCAAUGCAGUGACCUCCCAGGAGCAGAGGACCACCAGGUUGCCUGGUGAAGGAGGGGUGAACCGCCCAGGUUGGAAAUGGAGCAUGUCAAAACUCCCAUGCUGAUCAGUAGUGGGAUUGCAUCUGUAAAUAGCGACUUCGCUCCAGCCUGGGCAAUACAAUGAGACCCAUCUCU